rnacentral:rRNA from 1 species
GAGAGUUUGAUCCUGGCUCAGGACGAACGCUGGCGGCGUGCCUAAUACAUGCAAGUAGAACGCUGAAGAAAGGAGCUUGCUUCUUUUGGAUGAGUUGCGAACGGGUGAGUAACGCGUAGGUAACCUGCCUUGUAGCGGGGGAUAACUAUUGGAAACGAUAGCUAAUACCGCAUAACAGCUUUUGACACAUGUUAGAAGCUUGAAAGAUGCAAUUGCAUCACUACGAGAUGGACCUGCGUUGUAUUAGCUAGUAGGUAGGGUAACGGCCUACCUAGGCGACGAUACAUAGCCGACCUGAGAGGGUGAUCGGCCACACUGGGACUGAGACACGGCCCAGACUCCUACGGGAGGCAGCAGUAGGGAAUCUUCGGCAAUGGGGGCAACCCUGACCGAGCAACGCCGCGUGAGUGAAGAAGGUUUUCGGAUCGUAAAGCUCUGUUGUAAGAGAAGAACGUGUGUGAGAGUGGAAAGUUCACACAGUGACGGUAACUU